rnacentral:ncRNA from 1 species
CGUGCGUAGAGUGUAAAGGCAACAAGGGAGCUUGACUGCGAGACCGACGGGUCGAGCAGGAACGAAAGUUGGGCUUAGUGAUCCGGCGGUAGCAAGUGGAAGCGCCGUCGCUCAACGGAUAAAAGGUACUCCGGGGAUAACAGGCUUAUCGGUUCCAAGAGUCCACAUCGACGAACCGGUUUGGCACCUCGAUGUCGGCUCGUCGCAUCCUGGGGCUGGAGUAGGUCCCAAGGGUUGGGCUGUUCGCCCAUUAAAGCGGUACGCGAGCUGGGUUCAGAACGUCGUGAGACAGUUCGGUCCCUAUCUGCUGUGGGCGUUGGAGAGUUGAGAGGAGUCAUCCCUAGUACGAGAGGACCGGGAUGAACGUGCCUCUGGUGUAGCUGUUGUCCUGCCAAGGGCACCGCAGCUUAGCUACGCACGGAACGGAUAACCGCUGAAAGCAUCUAAGCGGGAAGCCGUCCUCGAGAUGAACUCUCCCAUCCCUUUAAGGGAGUAAGACCCCUGGUAGACCACCAGGUUGAUAGGCCGGCAGUGUAAUGCCAGCAAUGGUUGUAGCUGACCGGUACUAAUGGUUCGAGGGCUUGACGGA